GUACGAGAAACACAUCCUUCGGUGAUGUGGAGUAAAGUGGCGAACGGGUGAGUAACACGUGGGUAACCUGCCCUCGGGACCGGGAGUAACUGGCCGAAAGGCCCGCUAAUACCGGAUAAGGCCACAUGGGCUUCGGCCCAAGGGGUCAAAGUCGGCCUCUCAAAGAAGCUGGCGCCCAAGGAGGGGCUCGCGUACCAUUAGCUUGUUGGUAGGGUAACGGCCUACCAAGGCAAAGAUGGUUAGCUGGUCUGAGAGGAUGAUCAGCCACACUGGAACUGACACACGGUCCAGACUCCUACGGGAGGCAGCAGUGUGGAAUAUUGCGCAAUGGGGGAAACCCUGACGCAGCAACGCCGCGUGGGUGAAGAAGGCCCUCNGGGUUGUAAAGCCCUUGUCAGGUGCGAAGAACCCUUUUCAGGUUAAUACCCUGGAGAGCUGACGGUACCACCAAAGGAAGCACCGGCUAACUCCGUGCCAGCAGCCGCGGUAAGACGGAGGGUGCAAGCGUUGUUCGGAAUUACUGGGCGUAAAGCGCGUGUAGGCGGUUUGAUAAGUCGAAUGUGAAAGCCCGGGGCUUAACCUCGGAAGCGCACUCGAAACUGUCAUGCUUGAGUACGGGAGAGGGAAGUGGAAUUCCUGGUGUA
rnacentral:rRNA from 1 species